rnacentral:rRNA from 1 species
UACGUAGGAGGCGAGCGUUGUCCGGAGUUACUGGGCGUAAAGGGUGCGUAGGCGGCUGCGCGCGUGGAGGGUGAAAUCUCUCGGCUUACCCGGGAGGGGGCUUUCCAGACGGCGUGGCUUGAGGGACGGAGAGGGGCGUGGAAUUCCGGGUGGAGCGGUGAAAUGCGUAGAGAUCCGGAGGAACACCAGAGGCGAAGGCGGCCUGCUGGGCUGCACCUGACGCUGAGCCGCGAAAGCCAGGGGAGCGAACGGG